rnacentral:rRNA from 1 species
AUUGAACGCUGGCGGCAGGCCUAACACAUGCAAGUCGAGCGAGCGGCGGACGGGUGAGUAAUGUAUGGGGAUCUGCCCGAUAGAGGGGGAUAACUCCUGAAAACGGUUGCUAAUACCGCAUACUAUCUGUGGAACCCAUAUGGGAUUAGCUAGUAGGUGGGGUAAAGGCUCACCCAGGCGACGAUCUCUAGCUGGUCUGAGAGGAUGAUCAGCCACACUGGAACUGAGACACGGCCCAGACUCCUACGGGAGGCAGCAGUGGGGAAUAUUGCACAAUGGGCGAAAGCCUGAUGCAGCCAUGCCGCGUGUAUGAAGAAGGCCUUAGGGUUUUAAAGUACUUUCAGCGGGGAGGCGUUACCCGCAGAAGAAGCACCGGCUAACUCCGUGCCAGCAGCCGCGGUAAUAC